rnacentral:misc_RNA from 1 species
GAAAUGCGAUAAGUAAUGUGAAUUGCAGAAUUCAGUGAAUCAUCGAAUCUUUGAACGCACAUUGCGCCCGUCAGCAUUCUGGCGGGCAUGCCUGUUCGAGCGUCAUUUCAACCCUCAGGACCCCCCUUUCGCGGGGAGGGACCUGGCGUUGGGGAUCGGCCCGCCCCCCGUGGCGGCGCCGUCCCCGAAAUCUAGUGGCGGUCUCGCUGCAGCCUCCCCUGCGUAGUAGUUACAACCUCGCAUCGGAGCGCGGCGCGGCCACGCCGUAAAACCCCCGACUUUCUGAACGCUGACCUCGGAUCAGGUAGGAAUACCCGCUGAACUUAAGC